rnacentral:rRNA from 1 species
GACGAACGCUGGCGGCGUGCCUAAUACAUGCAAGUAGAACGCUGAAGGAGGAGCUUGCUUCUCCGGAUGAGUUGCGAACGGGUGAGUAACGCGUAGGUAACCUGCCUGGUAGCGGGGGAUAACUAUUGGAAACGAUAGCUAAUACCGCAUAACAGUAGAUGUUGCAUGACAUUUGCUUAAAAGGUGCAAUUGCAUCACUACCAGAUGGACCUGCGUUGUAUUAGCUAGUUGGUGAGGUAACGGCUCACCAAGGCGACGAUACAUAGCCGACCUGAGAGGGGGAUCGGCCACACGGGGACUGAGACACGGCCCAGACUCCUACGGGAGGCAGCAGUAGGGAAUCUUCGGCAAUGGACGGAAGUCUGACCGAGCAACGCCGCGGGGGUGAAGAAGGUUUUCGGAUCGUAAAGCUCUGUUGUAAGGGAAGAACGGGUGUGGGAGUGGAAAGUUCACACUGUGACGGUAUUUUACCAGAAAGGGACGGCUAACUACGG